UAAUUUUUGUCAAGGUGGAAUAUUUUAUCUAUGUGGAAUGCCAUGUAUCAAGGUUUUUUCAAAUAAAAGAGAGAGUGCAUUACACACACCUCAGAGGUGUGUUUCUCAAACUAAAAAAUGAUAGUUUAGGUAUGAAACUCACACUUUCAAUAGUUUAGGUAUGAAACUCAAAAAAAUGGGAUAGUUUAAGUGUGUUUUUGACA
rnacentral:lncRNA from 1 species